UUCGGGUUAGUGGCGGACGGGUGAGUAACGCGUGCCAAUCUGCCCUCAGGAGGGGGAUAACGGUUGGAAACGACCGCUAAUACCCCAUAUGCCGAGAGGUGAAAAGAAAUUCGCCUGAGGAUGAGCUCGCGUCUGAUUAGCUAGUUGGUGUGGUAAUGGCGCACCAAGGCUUCGAUCAGUAGCUGGUCUGAGAGGAUGAUCAGCCACACUGGGACUGAGACACGGCCCAGACUCCUACGGGAGGCAGCAGUGGG
rnacentral:rRNA from 1 species